rnacentral:rRNA from 1 species
AGCGAACGCUGGCGGCAGGCCUAACACAUGCAAGUCGAACGGAUCCUUCGGGAUUAGUGGCGGACGGGUGAGUAACACGUGGGAACGUGCCCUUUGGUUCGGAACAACUCAGGGAAACUUGAGCUAAUACCAGAUGUGCCCUUCGGGGGAAAGAUUUAUCGCCAUUGGAGCGGCCCGCGUCUGAUUAGCUAGUUGGUGAGGUAAAGGCUCACCAAGGCGACGAUCAGUAGCUGGUCUGAGAGGAUGAGAAGCCACAUUGGGACUGAGACACGGCCCAAAAUCCUACGGGAGGCAGCAGUGGGGAAUCUUGCGCAAUGGGCGAAAGCCUGACGCAGCCAUGCCGCGUGAAUGAUGAAGGUCUUAGGAUUGUAAAAUUCUUUCACCGGGGACGAUAAUGACGGUACCCGGAGAAGAAGCCCCGGCUAACUUCGUGCCAGCCGCCGCAGUAA